rnacentral:rRNA from 1 species
CGCGCAGGCGGCCUUUCAAGUCGGGCGUGAAAGCCCCGGGCUUAACCUGGGAAUUGCGCUUGGGACCGAAGGGCUGGAGUUCGGGAGAGGAGAGUGGAACUCCCAGUGUAGAGGUGAAAUUCGUAGAUAUUGGGAAGAACACCGGUGGCGAAGGCGGCUCUCUGGACCGAUACUGACGCUGAGGCGCGAAAGCGUGGGGAGCAAACAGGAUUAGAUACCCUGGUAGUCCACGCUGUAAACGAUGUGCGCUAGACGUUGGAGGGCGUAGCCUUCCGGUGUCGCAGCUAACGCUUUAAGCGCACCGCCUGGGGAGUACGGCCGCAAGGUUAAA